rnacentral:rRNA from 1 species
UACGUAGGGGGCGAGCGUUGUCCGGAUUUAUUGGGCGUAAAGAGCGUGUAGGCGGCCAGACAGGUCCGUUGUGAAAACUAGAGGCUUAACCUCUAGACGUCGAUGGAAACCGUCUGGCUAGAGUCCGGAAGAGGAGAAUGGAAUUCCUGGUGUAGCGGUGAAAUGACGCAGAUAUCAGGAAGAACACCCGUGGCUAAGGCGGUUCUCUAGUACGGUACUGACGCUGAGACGCGAAAGCGUGGGGAGCGAACAGG